GCCAGUGUGGCACAGUGGUUUGAGCAUUGGACCAGGACUCUGGAGACCAGGGUUCGAUUCCCUGCUUGGCCA